CACAUCACACAAAGCAGCCACAACAGUCAGUAAGGUAGAGACAACAAUACAUCACACAAAGCAGCCACAACAGUCAGUAAGGUAGAGACAACAACACAUCACACAAAGCAGCCACAACAGUCAGUAAGGUAGAGACAGCAAUACAUCACACAAAGCAGCCACAACAGUCAGUAAGGUAGAGACAACAAUACAUCACACAAAGCAGCCACAACAGUCAGUAGAGACAACAAUACAUCACACAAAGCAGCCACAACAGUCAGUAAGGUAGAGACAGCAAUACAUCACACAAAGCAGCCACAACAGUCAGUAAGGUAGAGACAACAAUACAUCACACAAAGCAGCCACAACAGUCAGUAGAGACAACAAUACAUCACACAAAGCAGCCACAACAGUCAGUAAGGUAGAGACAACAAUACAUCACACAAAGCAGCCACAACAGUCAGUAAGGUAGAGACAACAACACAUCACACAAAGCAGCCACAACGGUCAGUAAGGUAGAGACAACAAUACAUCACACAAAGCAGCCACAACAGUCAGUAAGGUAGAGACAACAACACAUCACACAAAGCAGCCACAACAGUCAGUAAGGUAGAGACAACAAUACAUCACACAAAGCAGCCACAACAGUCAGUAAGGUAGAGACAACAAUACAUCACACAAAGCAGCCACAACAGUCAGUAAGGUAGAGACAACAAUACAUCACACAAAGCAGCCACAACAGUCAGUAAGGUAGAGACAACAAUACAUCACACAAAGCAGCCACAACAGUCAG